UAUAGCCCAGGGGCCCCAGCCCAUGUUAAUCCGGACCUGUGGAGGACAUAAAUACAGUUCCCGUCUGCUGUCCGGUCCUUUCUAUCCUGCAGGCGAGUCUGCCCAAAGGAUUCUGGGACCAUGGAGGAGACAUGGGUGUUCAAGGUACCAUGGAGUCCCACUCUCUCUACCUGUUCUGUCCUUCGAAUUCGGACAGGAUAGUGGAGAAAUCUCCCUGCUCCCAAGGGUAGGGCACUGGGUAGCCGUGUACUGAGUCUGGUGAUGCCAAUGAGGGAUUCCCUCUUAUAGGCUCCAUGGGCUCCAGGCAUGGCUCUCAGUGGACGGCACCAGGUCGUCUUUCACGCUUACCUGAUGGUGUGUCUGGACGAUCUGAUGUGAGAAGUAUCGAGUCCAUGAAGCCAUUAAGCAUUUAAGCAUGACGCAUGAACCGAAUUCCGAUUACCGAAUUCCCUGAAGCAUCAGAACAACGAAGCAACGAAACAGUAAACCCUAACGGAACUGAACCUGAGAAACUUAAAUGAACCUGAACUGAUAUGAACAUGUAACUAACUAUGUAACUCUGUUUUUACCCCAAUGGGGGUGUCUGGUUCUGUUGCUUGGUUUAGUGGGUCGUGAGGAUGGUCCGGUGGCUGUAUAUAAUUAGCCUAUAUCCAGUCAUGCGGAUGGGCCCGCGGGUAAAACCUUCAUCUUCAACUUCAACCCAAAAUAAAAUAAAAUAAAAACAGAAAAAGA